rnacentral:rRNA from 1 species
GACGAACGCUGGCGGCGUGCCUAAUACAUGCAAGUAGAACGCUGAAGGAGGAGCUUGCUUCUCCGGAUGAGUUGCGAACGGGUGAGUAACGCGUAGGUAACCUGCCUGGUAGCGGGGGAUAACUAUUGGAAACGAUAGCUAAUACCGCAUAAGAGUAGAUGUCGCAUGACAUUUGCUUAAAAGGUGCAACUGCACCACUACCAGAUGGACCUGCGUUGUAUUAGCUAGUUGGUGAGGUAACGGCUCACCAAGGCAACGAUACAUAGCCGACCUGAGAGGGUGAUCGGCCACACUGGGACUGAGACACGGCCCAGACUCCUACGGGAGGCAGCAGUAGGGAAUCUUCGGCAAUGGACGGAAGUCUGACCGAGCAACGCCGCGUGAGUGAAGAAGGUUUUCGGAUCGGAAAGCUCUGUUGUAAGAGAAGAACGAGUGUGAGAGUGGAAAGUUCACACUGUGACGGUAUCUUACCAGAAAGAGACGGCUAACUACGUG